rnacentral:rRNA from 1 species
UACGUACCGUUCAAACGUUAUUCGGAAUUACUGGGCUUAAAGGGUGCGUAGGCGGCGCGGUAAGUCGGGUGUGAAAUCUCGGAGCUUAACUCCGAAACUGCAUUCGAUACUGCCGUGCUUGAGGACUGGAGAGGAGACUGGAAUUUACGGUGUAGCGGUGAAAUGCGUAGAUAUCGUAAGGAAGACCAGUGGCGAAGGCGGGUCUCUGGACAGUUCCUGACGCUGAGGCACGAAGGUCAGGGGAGCAAACGGG